rnacentral:rRNA from 1 species
GCAUUACAUGGAUGCCUCGACUCUAUACUCCGAUGAAGGACGUGGCCAGCUGCGAUAUGCCUCGGUAAGCCGCUAGGCAGGCGUUAUUAGCCGAGGAUUUCCGAAUGAGGAAACUCCUCCGCCGUCAUGGGCGGAGACCGGAGAGCUUGCUCUCCGGAGGUCACUCUGUGAACUGAAACAUCUCAGUAACAGAGGAAAAGAAAUUAACAAAGAUUCCCUAAGUAGUGGCGAGCGAAAGGGGAACAGGCCAAACCCCAUUGUUUUAUUGAUGGGGGGUUGUAGGGCCCCGAUAUCCGAUUGAUUCUGUAUAAAUGAAUGAGCCUGGAACGGACAGCCAAAGAGGGUGAGAGCCCCGUAAUUGAAAUACAGGAGCACGGUAGGGAGUCCCUGAGUAGGGUCGGACACGUGAAAUCCGGCCUGAAUCUGGGUGGACCACCAUCCAAGCCUAAAUAGGUAUAGAGAUCUAUAGCGAAUAGUACCGCGAGGGAACGGUGAAAAGCACCCCGGAAGGGGGAUGAAAUAGACCCUGAAAUGUAAUGCGUUCAAGGAGCUGGAGCCCUUUAUGGGUGACAGCGUGCCUUUUGCAUAAUGAGCCAAGGAGUUAGUUGUUAGUGGCUGGUUAAGGCAGAGUUAGCCGGAGCCAGAGCGAAAGCGAGUCCGAAUAGGGCGCAUAUAGUCGCUAGCACUAGACCCGAAACCGGGUGAGCUACCCAUGGGCAGGGUGAAGGGCGCCCAACGGCGUCUGGAGGCCCGAACCCACGCAUGUCACAAGAUGCGGGGAUGACCUGUGGGUAGGGGUGAAAAGCCUAUCGAACCCGGAGAUAGCUGGUUCUCUUCGAAAUGCCUUUAGGGGCAGCCUCGUUUUGCAAGAUGGGGGGUAGAGCUACUGUUUGGAUGCGGGGGUCUCCUCGACCUACCAAAUCCUGGCAAACUCCGAAUACCCAUCCUUAGAAAACGGGAGUGAGACGGUGACGGCAAAUCGCCAUCGUCGAGAGGGAAACAACCCAGAUCAUCUGCUAAGGUCCCUAAUGAUAGUUAAGUGUGAAAGGAGGUGUAGGUGCAUGGACAACCAGGAGGUUGGCUUAGAAGCAGCCAUCCUUUAAAGAAAGCGUAACAGCUCACUGGUCGAUUGCACUUAUGCGCCGAAAAUUUAACGGGGCAAAACUAUCUACCGAAGCAAUGAGUGUGCUUUUUAGCACGCAGUAGAAGAGCGUUCUGUUCAGCAGUGAAGCAGUACUGCGAGGUAUUGUGGAGCGGACAGAAGUGAGAAUCUUGGCAUGAGUAACUACUAGGCAGGUGAAAACCCUGCCCGCCGAAUCCCCAAGGGUUCCCACGCAACGUUAAUCGGCGUGGGGUUAGUCGGGCCUAAGGUGAGGCCGAAAGGCGUAACCGAUGGACAACAGGUUAAUAUUCCUGUACCUCAUGGAAAUCGAUCAAGGGUGCCGUUUGAUAGUUUGGCAGGCCUCUGCUUCCUCCUUCGGGAGGCUGGCAUGUCCGUCAGAAAGGACGAUGGUAACCUAGGAGCGGUAUGACGGAGCGGGAACACCAGAGCGUAUGUAUUGACUGUACGUGUAACACGUAAGGCGUUAAUUCCGGUAGGCAAAUCCGCCGGAAGAGCUAAGCGUGGAUGCCAAUUGUCCGCCUCAGGCGGAUGAGUCUGAAUGUUUCUGCUUCCAAGAAAACUGUCGCUUCGAGAGUUUCAUGAGACCGUACCGCAAACCAACACCGGUGGGGUGGUCGAGUAGACCAAGGCGAACGAGUAAUUCCGCGUUAAGGAACUCGGCAAAACAGCGUCCGUAACUUCGGGAUAAGGACUGGCGUUCUCUAUUACGGGGAGCGCCCGCAGCAAAAGAGCUCAGGCGACUGUUUACCAAAAACACAGGUCCCUGCUAAGUCGCAAGACAACGUAUAGGGGCUGAUGCCUGCCCAGUGUCAGAAGGUUACGUGAGGGGGUUUACGCCCUUGAUCUAAGCCCUGAUGAACGGCGGCCGUAACUAUAACGGUCCUAAGGUAGCGAAAUUCCUUGUCGGGUGGUUGGCAAUAACUUGCCCGAAUGACGAGUAAUCGUCACACCAAGGAAUGAGUUGUGUUGAUCAAAACAGUUUAUUAAUUUCUUUGCGCAGCUGAGUUUUAUAUAUUUUAUUGAUCGUAUACCACCAAUAGUGAAAACGUUGCUAUAUGCUGGAAUAUCCGGUGCCGUGAAGUCUUUGUACUUCAUGGCGAGAAUGACGCACUACGCGCAAGCGUGACAAUGUGACGUCUGCGGACAAUCAGCAGGAAACCUUACGUAUGUAAGGGCUCCUCAGAGACUCUACGCAACGCCCCCGCGAAGCCCGAUCUGGGCGAAGUGGGGUGAUGAUAUAGUCCGAUCCCUAUGGCGACAUAGGGUGCAGAGAAGUUCUGCAGUUACACUUCGAGAUGUGCUUUCAGCGCUCCUCAGUGUGACAACACGCGUGGAACGGGAACUCCAACCAAUAUAAUAAGUACAUCGCGAAGGGCGGCUUUGCCGGCCUGGAGCGAUACCUUAAAAGGGAAGGAGAGCCCGUGAGAGGAAACCGUAGGUUUCCUUUCACGAAUAGUGAAGUUCCGACCCGCACGAAUGGUAUAACGGUCUGAGCACUGUCUCAACGCGGAGCUCGGUGAAAUUGCAGUCCCGGUGCAAAUGCCGGGUAGACUACGGAAGGACGAAAAGACCCUAUGAAGCUUUACUAUAAGCUGACAUUGUAUCACUGGUUUCUUUGUGCAGAAUAGGUGGGAGGCUUUGAAGCGGGGGCGUUAGCCCCUGUGGAGCCAACUUUGAGAUACCACCCUUUGGUUCUGUUGAUACUCACCCCGUCUCUGAAACGGAGAGGGGGACAGUGUUUGCCGGGUAGUUUAACUGGGGCGGUUGCCUCCUAAAAUGUAACGGAGGCGUGCAAUGGUCCACUAGCGCCGGAUGGAAAUCGGCGUUGUCGUAUAAUCGCAUAAGUGGGCCUGACUGUGAGGCUUACAGGCCGAGCAGGGACGAAAGUCGGUGAUAGUGAUCCGGCACCUUUGACACUGAUUUAUUAGUGUCAUUCCACGUGGGUGGGGUGUCGCUCAUCGGAUAAAAGUUACUCUAGGGAUAACAGGCUGAUCGCUCCCAAGCGCCCACAGCGACGGAGCGGUUUGGCACCUCAAUCGGGGUGCUACAGAAGUAAUUCUGUACCAAAAAUUCGGCUUAUAACGGUGAAACCGUCACGAGCAAUUGUGGAAAUUUAUUUGCUCGUCGGCAAUACCGUGGGAAGUCCUCCGCCAACAGCGGAGUGACCCCGUAACGACUGACCCGAAAGGGGAGAGCCUUUCAUAGAGAAAGGCUAACACGCCGAUUCCUGCAACACAUUAAGUCAGAUUACGGUUGUAUACGACUAUACGACCUACGAUCGACUGCAGGAUAAAGAUAUAGUCUGCACCAUACGAAAAUAUGGAUAAAAGUACGAUGUCGGCUCAUCGCAUCCUGGGGCUGAAGAAGGUCCCAAGGGUUUGGCUGUUCGCCAAUUAAAGCGGUACGCGAGCUGGGUUCAGAACGUCGUGA